rnacentral:tRNA from 1 species
GGGCCGCUAGCUCAGCGGGAGAGCACUGCCUUCACACGGCAGGGGUCACUGGUUCAAUCCCAGUGCGGCCCACCA